rnacentral:rRNA from 1 species
UGACCUCGAUCAGGAGA